rnacentral:rRNA from 1 species
AUACGUAGGUCCCGAACGUUGCGCGAAAUUACUGGGCGUAAAGGGUCCGUAGGCGGUCUGGUAAGUGGUAGGUGAAAGCCUGGGGCUCAACUCCAGAAUUGCCUUCCAAACCGCCGGACUUGAGGCAGGGAGAGGUCGGCGGAAUUCCCGGUGUAGUGGUGAAAUGCGUAGAUAUCGGGAGGAACACCAGUGGCGAAGGCGGCCGACUGGAACUGUCCUGACGCUGAGGGACGAAAGCCAGGGGAGCGAACCGGAUUAGAAACCCUAGUAGUCC